rnacentral:rRNA from 1 species
GAUGAACGCUGGCGGCGUGCCUAAUACAUGCAAGUCGAGCGAACUGAUUAGAAGCUUGCUUCUAUGACGUUAGCGGCGGACGGGUGAGUAACACGUGGGCAACCUGCCUGUAAGACUGGGAUAACUUCGGGAAACCGAAGCUAAUACCGGAUAGGGUCCUCUCCUUCAUGGGAGAUGAUUGAAAGAUGGUUUCGGCUAUCACUUACAGAUGGGCCCGCGGUGCAUUAGCUAGUUGGCGAGGUAACGGCUCACCAAGGCAACGAUGCAUAGCCGACCUGAGAGGGUGAUCGGCCACACUGGGACUGAGACACGGCCCAGACUCCUACGGGAGGCAGCAGUAGGGAAUCUUCCGCAAUGGACGAAAGUCUGACGGAGCAACGCCGCGUGAGUGAUGAAGGCUUUCGGGUCGUAAAACUCUGUUGUUAGGGAAGAACAAGUACAAGAGUAACUGCUUGUACCUUGACGGUACCUAACCAGAAAGCCACGGCUAACUACGUGCCAGCCGCCGCCGUAA